rnacentral:rRNA from 1 species
UACGUAGGGUGCAAGCGUUAUCCGGAUUCAUUGGGCGUAAAGAGUUGCGUAGGCGGUUCGAUGCAUUUCGCUUGAAAUGCUAUAGCUUAACUAUAGUUUCGGGCGAAAUAUGAUCGGACUAGAAGAUGUGAGGGGGUACUGGAACCGAUGGUGGAGCAGUGAAAUGUGUUGAGAUCAUCGGGAACACCAAAGGCGUAGGCAGGUACCUAGCAUAUUCUUGACGCUUAGGCACGAAAGCUUGGGGAGCGAAAAGG